rnacentral:misc_RNA from 1 species
UAUUCCGGAUAAUGGACACCAAGUUGGGGGCACAGUAUCCUCAGAAAGGAGCCUAUAUGGCUGCUAACCUUGCCUUACAGUGUCUAAGCUCUGAAGCCAAAGCUAGGCCUCGAAUGUCUGAGGUGUUAGCAACAUUGGAGCAAAUAGAGUCCCCAAAAACUACAAAAUAUUCCCAGUCAGAGCUUCAAACUGUUCGGAAAUCCCCAAUGAGACAUCAUCAUUCUCCUCUUAA